AAUCCAUGCAUCGAAUAUUUCUGAAUUAAUUCUUUAAAUUGUUCCAAGCUUCAUAUAGUGUUUCAUCCUUUGAUUGCAAAAAAUAUGUGAUGUAAUUUCUAAGCUU
rfam:Gossypium hirsutum cultivar TM-1 unplaced genomic scaffold scaffold334.1, whole genome shotgun sequence